rfam:Picea glauca, whole genome shotgun sequence.
AGCCGUGUGGUCGACACAAAGCGAACUAUUCUUUCGCCUUUUACUAAAGAAUACCGUGUGUUGGCCACAUACAGCGGCAUACGCCAAUUUUUGGAGCCUUCCAUUUCUUAUAAAUGGAG